GAGGCAGCAGUGGGGAAUAUUGGACAAUGGGCGCAAGCCUGAUCCAGCCAUGCCGCGUGAGUGAUGAAGGCCUUCGGGUUGUAAAGCUCUUUCACCCACGACGAUGAUGACGGUAGUGGGAGAAGAAGCCCCGGCUAACUUCGUGCCAGCAGCCGCGGUAAUACGAAGGGGGCAAGCGUUGUUCGGAAUGACUGGGCGUAAAGGGCGCGUAGGCGGUUCGUUGCGUCAGAUGUGAAAGCCCCGGGCUCAACCUGGGAACUGCAUUUGAUACGGGCGGGCUUGAAUCCAAGAGAGGGUGGUGGAAUUCCCAGUGUAGAGGUGAAAUUCGUAGAUAUUGGGAAGAACACCAGUGGCGAAGGCGGCCACCUGGCUUGGUAUUGACGCUGAGGCGCGAAAGCGUGGGGAGCAAACAGGAUUAGAUACCCUGGUAGUCCACGCCGUAAACGAUGUGUGCUAGCCGUCGGGCAGCUUGCUGUUCGGUGGCGCAGCUAACGCGAUAAGCACACCGCCUGGGGAGUACGGUCGCAAGAUUAAAACUUAAAGGAAUUGACG
rnacentral:rRNA from 1 species